rnacentral:rRNA from 1 species
UACGUAGGGGGCAAGCGUUGUCCGGAUUUAUUGGGCGUAAAGAGCGUGUAGGCGGCCUGACAGGUCUGCUGUGAAAACUCGAGGCUCAACCUCGAGAUGUCGGCGGAAACCGUCUGGCUAGAGUCCGGAAGAGGAGAGUGGAAUUCCUGGUGUAGCGGUGAAAUGCGCAGAUAUCAGGAAGAACACCUAUGGCGAAGGCAGCUCUCUGGGACGGUACUGACGCUGAGACGCGAAAGCGUGGGAGGCGAACAGG